UAGCUCAGUUAGGUAGAGUGCUUGCCUUGCAUGCACAAAGCUCUGGGUUCAAUUCCCAG
rnacentral:tRNA from 1 species